rnacentral:pre_miRNA from 1 species
UUUCUACUCCCUCCGUCUGAAAAUACUUGUCAUCAAAAUGGAUAAAAAGAGAUGUAUCUAAAACUAAAAUACGUCUAGAUACAUUUCCUUUUAUCCAUUUUGAUGACAAGUAUUUCCGGCCGGAGGGAGUAUUUG